CACGUAGGGUGCGAGCGUUGUCCGGAAUUAUUGGGCGUAAAGAGCUCGUAGGCGGUGUGUCGCGUCGGCCGUGAAAACCUGCAGCUUAACUGUGGGCUUGCGGUCGAUACGGGCAUCACUGGAGUUCGGCAGGGGAGACUGGAAUUCCUGGUGUAGCGGUGAAAUGCGUAGAUAUCAGGAGGAACACCGGUGGUGGUAGACGGCUUUCCUGGACCGU
rnacentral:rRNA from 1 species